rnacentral:lncRNA from 1 species
UACCAUUUGAGUGGUUUCUCAGGUCACAGUGUAUUGCAGAGAGCAGAUUGUUAAUUAAAUGGUAAUGUUUUCUGAAUUUGGAAGUAAUUUCUGAAGUUAAUAGUUAUUAGUUACCUUGAAAUUGUAAAACAAAAUCGUCGGUAUAUAAAAUCAGUACAUAAUUAGCAAGCUGUCCUCCAAGAAGCAGAUCACAUCACACUCUGCCCAAAAGGAACAGCUUUGCUGACGAGGCACUGACAUAGUUAAGAGAAACCAUGAAUCACGCAAGGGGCCAGGAGAAUGGUGCUGCCCAGCUCACAUUCAGAGGCAGCAUAAUUUAUGAAGCUCUGAGGACAGUGGGAGGUAGGCUGUCAGAAAUGCUAAGUCCUCUGUGGAAUUAUUACAUUCCCUUUGAAAGAUUUGAUGUCAUUGAAACGAGAUCUUCACUCAGGUGGAGGAGCAGUACAGUGGCCAAGAGAAAGAUUGGGUUGACAGAGGGAAAUAAAAAGAAUUCUGAUAUGUAAUAGAUGGGAUAAUCAGGAUACAGUAGGUCAUGGUCACAUUUGAGCUCCAGGUGGUGUCUGAUUGACUUGGAAGCAAUGCAAUAGGUGCAAAUUUGACCCUUAUAAUUCCUGCCAGUUUGGACCCUCAUAAUUGGGUCCAAAGAUAUUAGCUGUCACUUGACAUUCCCAUUGGCAAAAAUGAAGGGCAAGCCUCUGUUGACAAAGCGUGAAACGUCAUCUGCUGUCUCUUUAACGCCAUAAAUGAGUCACUUAUUCCAUAGAAGAGCAAGAAGAAAGAGCAGGGGGCCGGGCGAGGUGGCUCAUGCCUGUAAUCCCAGCACUUUGGGAGGCCGAGGCAGGUGGAUCACGAGGUCAAGAGAUCGAGACCAUCCUGGUCAACAUGGUGAAAUCCCGUCUCUACUAAAAAUAUGAAAAAUUAGCUGGGCAUGGUGGCGCACGCCUGUAAUCCCAGCUACUCAGGAGGCUGAGGCAGGAGAAUUGCCUGAACCCAGGAGGCGGAGGUUGUGGUGAGCCGAGAUCGCGCCAUUGCA